rnacentral:misc_RNA from 1 species
GAUGAAGAACGCAGCGAAAUGCGAUAAGUAAUGUGAAUUGCAGAAUUCAGUGAAUCAUCGAAUCUUUGAACGCACAUUGCGCCCGCCAGUAUUCUGGCGGGCAUGCCUGUUCGAGCGUCAUUUCAACCAUCAAGCCCCCGGCUUGUGUUGGGGACCUGCGGCUGCCGCAGGCCCUGAAAACCAGUGGCGGGCUCGCUAGUCACUCCGAGCGUAGUAAUACAUCUCGCUCAGGGCGUGCUGCGGGUUCCGGCCGUUAAAAGCCUUAUUUUACCCAAGGUUGACCUCGGAUCAGGUAGGAAGACCCGCUGAACUUAAGCAUAUCAAUAAGCGGAGGA